GAUGAACGCUGGCGGCGUGCUUAACACAUGCAAGUCGAACGGAAAGGCCCUGCUUUUGUGGGGUGCUCGAGUGGCGAACGGGGGAGUAACACGUGAGUAACCUGCCCUUGACUUUGGGAUAACUUCAGGAAACUGGGGCUAAUACCGGAUAGGAGAUCCUGCUGCAUGGUGGGGGUUGGAAAGUUUCGGCCGUUGUGGCUGUACUCGCGGCUUAUCAGCUUGUUGGUGGGGUAGGUGCUUACCAAGGCUUUGAAGGGUAGCCUGCCUGGGAGGGUGAACGGCCACCUUGCGACUGCGAGACGGCCCAGUCUCGAACGGGAGGCAGUGGUGGGGAAUCUUACACAGCAGGGGGGCGCGUGAUACGACAACCCCGCGUGCGUGAUGCCGGGUUUCGGGUUGUGAACCGAUUUCGCAUGAAACGAAGCGUGAGUGACGGUACUGGGUAAAGAAGCACCGGCUAACUACGUG
rnacentral:rRNA from 1 species